ACGCUCGACACCUACGGGAGGAGCAGUGGGGAAUAUUGCACAAUGGGGGAAACCCUGAUGCAGCGACGCCGCGUGAGCGAAGAAGUAUUUCGGUAUGUAAAGCUCUAUCAGCAGGGAAGAAACUGACGGUACCUGACUAAGAAGCACCGGCUAAAUACGUGCCGCAGCCGCGGUAAUCUGAGCGGGCUGGCAAGGC
rnacentral:rRNA from 1 species